CCUACGUGUGGCAGCAGUGAGGAAUAUUGGUCAAUGGGCGGGAGCCUGAACCAGCCAAGUCGCGUGAGGGAAGACGGUCCUACGGAUUGUAAACCUCUUUUGCCGGGGAGCAACGGGGUCCUUGCGAGGGCCCAAUGAGAGUACCCGGAGAAAAAGCAUCGGCUAACUCCGUGCCAGCAGCCGCGGUAAUACGGAGGAUGCGAGCGUUAUCCGGUUUUAUUGGGGUUAAAGGGUGCGUAGGCGGGCUGUUCAGUCAGCGGGCAAAUGGUGGGGGUCAACCCCGGCCUGCCGUUGAAACGGGCUGCCUCGAGUGUGCUGGAAGUAUGCGGAAUGCGUGGUGUAGCGGUGAAAUGCAUAGAUAUCACGCAGAACUCCGAUUGCGAAGGCAGCAUACCGGCGCCCUACUGACGCUGAGGCACGAAAGCGUGGGUAUCGAACAGGAUUAGAUACCCCAGUAGUC
rnacentral:rRNA from 1 species